AGAGUUUGAUCAUGGCUCAGGAUGAACGCUAGCUACAGGCUUAACACAUGCAAGUCGAGGGGAAACGACAUCGAAAGCUUGCUUUUGAUGGGCGUCGACCGGCGCACGGGUGAGUAACGCGUAUCCAACCUGCCCAUCACUUGGGGAUAACCUUGCGAAAGUAAGACUAAUACCCAAUGACGUCUCUAGAAGACAUCUGAAAGAGAUUAAAGAUUUAUCGGUGAUGGAUGGGGAUGCGUCUGAUUAGCUUGUUGGCGGGGUAACGGCCCACCAAGGCGACGAUCAGUAGGAGUUCGUGAGAGGAAGGUCCCCCACAUUGGAACUGAGACACGGUCCAAACUCCUACGGGAGGCCA
rnacentral:rRNA from 1 species